CGGAGUGUAGCUCAGCUUGGUAGAGCACUGUCUUCGGGAGGCAGGGGUCGUGAGUUCGAAUCUCGCCACUCCGACCA
rnacentral:tRNA from 4 species